rnacentral:rRNA from 1 species
GACGAACCGUGCAAACGUUAUUCGGAAUCGCUGGGCAUAAAGGGCGCGUAGGCGGCUUUCUAAGUCAGGGGUGAAAUCCGGCAGCUCAACUGUCGCAGUGCCUUUGAUACUGGAGAGCUCGAGGGAGGUAGGGGUCUGUGGAACUUCCGGUGGAGCGGUGAAAUGCGUUGAUAUCGGAAGGAACGCCGGUGGCGAAAGCGGCGCGCUGGAUCCCUACUGACGCUGAGGCGCGAAAGCCAGGGGAGCAAACGGG